CCGAGACACUGUUAAAGAUGACAAAAGCAUGUUACCUCACAUUUAUCCUGUAGAGAGAGAAUACCAAAUGAGUUCCAUUUUCGUUGAAGAAGAAACUCCUUCGGGGCGCCAUGGGACGAGAAGCACUUCUGCAUUGUCUGUCAAAGCAAGUGGGGAGGUAAACUUUCAUGAAACAUAUCUGGAGAAGGAAUUUUGGAAAGAGAAAUCUGUGACCUAUCAGAUUGAGAUGAUGAAGUAGACAAUUACAUAUUGGUCCAGCUACUUUUCUGAGAAAAUGAACAUCCAAUCGUCUCCGGAAGUUGGUAACUCCAUCUAGAUCACUGCUUGAGAGCAUCAUGAGCCCAAUAAUUGUGUAAGUUAAUGUUCAUGGACUUCUUCUAUAUGCAUGUACUAUAUUACUGGAUCGCAAACUAACCCCAAAUAAACUACCUUUGUAACACGACUUUUCACCAUUUCAAAAUUGAGACUUGACACAUUUUUCAAAUUAAGAAAUUGAUGACCAUUGGUUCAAUGGUUAAGACUUGGCCUAAUAACCUUGAGGUUAUGGGUUCAAGCCUUGGGACCACCACUUUGUACAUUAUGCCAAAUGUUAGAUGUGUACUCAAUCUUUUCCUUCACAAACACACAUUAAUGUAUACUAAUUGGGCGUUGUUUUUUUUUUUAAAGAAAUUGAUGACCAUAUUAGAGUUCCAUUCACGUUCUUUCCCCCCCUUCAUUUUGCAAUAUGUUUUGAAUGGGAAAAUUACAAUACACGUCCCUCAAAGGGUGUGUACAUCAUAUUGAUUUAGACUUCCAACCAUUAAAUCUGAAUAAAUAAACUGAGCCGUUGGAUAUCGCUUCGAGUCAUGAUCAUUUUGGGUCAUAAACCACACCACAUUAAUUAAUUAUCAUUUAUCAAGACCUCGUUGAAUGAUAACUAGGGCAUUUUUGUUACAUAUCUUUGAAGGUGUGUAGGACCAUGUUUGAAAAAACACUUGUCAAACUAGAAAAGGAAAAGUAGGAGAAAUUUAUGGAGCUUUGGGGAAAAGUUUUAUGUUUCAUUUUGUCAAUUACAUCCUGGCAAUUAAUAAAGCUUCUCUAGCUAGUAAAAAAACAUAAAUUGGGGGUUUUAUCUCGUUAAUGAUGAUGAGAUUUAUUCUCUUAUACAAGGGAACCUGAUUUGCAUAUGCUAAAAUAUUUCUGGCAAUAGCAUGGAACAGAGUAAUAGAAUUCGUAUACAGGUGCUGGCUUAUUCUUAUUCCAUGGUCUGGGAUUCACAUUUCAUUGCCUAUUGUAUAUUAAUUUGGGGCUGUAAACCAGCUUCAAUUUGAUCCCUGCCCACCUUAAAACUGUCACUUGUGAAAUAUAUCAGACUUGAUUGUACUUUGUUAAUUUCUCUUAGUUACAAAUUCACAAUAGGUUUGCUCCAUGCCUUUGCUUAGUGCUCUUAUAAUAUAUGUGACCCGUGUGGCUAGGGUUACGAACAGACAUGGGAUAGGUAUCAACUUCUGGUCAACAAGACACUUUAUGAGAAAACCAUAGCAAGUGGCUUUGGCUCAGUUCACUUUCUUCUGGAUGCUUCUGAACAGCAGCAAUACAAGGAAGCCAUAUUGGCUUAUGCAAUCUUGCUUAAAGCAGAGACCGGCCAGG